rnacentral:rRNA from 1 species
AACGUAGGGGACAAGCGUUAUCCGGAUUUACUGGGCGUAAAGCGCCCGUAGGCGGCUUUUUAAGUUGGACGUGAAAGCUCCCGGCUUAACUGGGAGAGGCCGUUCAAAACUAGCGAGCUAGAGUGAGGCAGAGGAGCGCGGAAUUCCCGGUGUAGUGGUGGAAUGCGUAGAUAUCGGGAGGAACACCAGUGGCGAAAGCGGCGCUCUGGGCCUAAACUGACGCUGAGGGGCGAAAGCGUGGGGAGCGAACGGG